rnacentral:lncRNA from 1 species
CAAGAACCAAAAAGAUUGAUUUUUUCAAGAAAAUACAAAACUAAAAACAACCCCAAGAACCAAAAAGAUCAAAUUUUUCAAGAAAAUACAAAACUAAAAACAACCCCAAGAACCAAAAGAUCAAUUUUUCAAGAAAUGAAACACUUUUUUUUUUUCAAGAAAACAGAAAAUGGAAACAACCCAACAACCAACAAGAUCAAAAUUUUCAAGAAAUGAAGCUCAACUUUUCUUUUAAUUUUUUUUUUUUGAGGGGUUUCAAAUGGCCAUGGAGACAAGAAGAAGCUAGCUCCAGAACCAAAAAAAAAAAAAUACAAGAAAGGGUUUUUUUGGUCCAAAAAUUUUGGGAAAAGAAUAGAGGGAGAGAUGUGUAGAUUCUUGGAGGAGUUGCACUGUUUUUGGAAGAGAGAUGGCAUUGAGAGAUUAAUGGUUCAAUUGGAGGUUAGGAAUUGAUGUCUAG